GAUGAAGAACGUAGCGAAAUGCGAUAAGUAAUGUGAAUUGCAGAAUUCAGUGAAUCAUCGAAUCUUUGAACGCACCUAGCACCCUUUGGCAUUCUGAAGGGUAUGCUCGUUUGAGUGUCAUUGUACUCUCACACUCCCGAUCUUUGCAUUGGGAGCAGUGGACUUGGGUUUGCUGCUUCACCGUCGCUUACCUCAAAUAGGUUAGUGCAACUCUUGGUUGGACAUAGUACGGCGUGAUAAGUGUUCUUCGCCGGUGCCUCGCAAAGAGGGUGGCCGAUCGGGAUGUUGUGCUCCAAACCGUCUUCGGACAAUCUCUGACGACUUGACCUCAAAUCGAGUAAGACUACCCGCUGAACUUAAGCAUAUCAAUAAGCGGAGGA
rnacentral:misc_RNA from 1 species